rnacentral:rRNA from 1 species
AGGACACUCUAUACGGAGUUACAAAGGACGACAUUAGACGAAUCAUCUGGAAAGAUGAAUCAAAGAAGGUAAUAAUCCUGUAGUCGAAAAUGUUGUCUCUCUUGAGUGGAUCCUGAGUACGACGGAGCACGUGAAAUUCCGUCGGAAUCUGGGAGGACCAUCUCCUAAGGCUAAAUACUCUCUAGUGACCGAUAGUGAACCAGUACCGUGAGGGAAAGGUGAAAAGCACCCCGGAAGGGGAGUGAAAUAGAACCUGAAACCGUGUGCUUACAAGUAGUCAGAGCCCGUUAAUGGGUGAUGGCGUGCCUUUUGUAGAAUGAACCGGCGAGUUACGAUUUGAUGCAAGGUUAAGCAGUAAAUGUGGAGCCGUAGCGAAAGCGAGUCUGAAUAGGGCGUUUAGUAUUUGGUCGUAGACCCGAAACCAGGUGAUCUACCCUUGGUCAGGUUGAAGUUCAGGUAACACUGAAUGGAGGACCGAACCGACUUACGUUGAAAAGUGAGCGGAUGAACUGAGGGUAGCGGAGAAAUUCCAAUCGAACCUGGAGAUAGCUGGUUCUCUCCGAAAUAGCUUUAGGGCUAGCCUCAAGUGAUGAUUAUUGGAGGUAGAGCACUGUUUGGACGAGGGGCCCCUCUCGGGUUACCGAAUUCAGACAAACUCCGAAUGCCAAUUAAUUUAACUUGGGAGUCAGAACAUGGGUGAUAAGGUCCGUGUUCGAAAGGGAAACAGCCCAGACCACCAGCUAAGGUCCCAAAAUAUAUGUUAAGUGGAAAAGGAUGUGGCGUUGCCCAGACAACUAGGAUGUUGGCUUAGAAGCAGCCAUCAUUUAAAGAGUGCGUAAUAGCUCACUAGUCGAGUGACACUGCGCCGAAAAUGUACCGGGGCUAAACAUAUUACCGAAGCUGUGGAUUGUCCUUUGGACAAUGGUAGGAGAGCGUUCUAAGGGCGUUGAAGCAUGAUCGUAAGGACAUGUGGAGCGCUUAGAAGUGAGAAUGCCGGUGUGAGUAGCGAAAGACGGGUGAGAAUCCCGUCCACCGAUUGACUAAGGUUUCCAGAGGAAGGCUCGUCCGCUCUGGGUUAGUCGGGUCCUAAGCGGAGGCCGACAGGCGUAGGCGAUGGAUAACAGGUUGAUAUUCCUGUACCACCUAUCAUCGUUUUAAACGAUUGGGGGACGCAGUAGAAUAGGCGAAGCGUGC